rnacentral:rRNA from 1 species
UAAUACCAGCUCCCCGAGUGGUCGGGACGAUUAUUUGGCCUAAAGCAUCCGUAGCUGGCCUGAUAAGUUCCCCGUUAAAUCCAGCGAUCCAAUCGUUGGGCCGCGGGAAAUACUGUCAGACUAGGAGGCGGGAGAGGCCGGCGGUAUUUCCGGGGGAGGGGUGAAAUCCUAUAAUCCCGGGAGGACCACCAGUGGCGAAGGCGGCCGGCUAGAACGCGCUCGACAGUGAGGGAUGAAAGCUGGGGGAGCGAACCGGAUUAGAUACCCGGGUAGUCCCAGCCGUAAACGAUGCGGGCUAGGUGUUGGACCGGCUACGAGCCAGUUCAGUGCCGAAUGGAAGCAACUAAGCCCGCCGCCUGGGAAGUACGGUCGCAAGGCUG